UACCAUAACAGGGGUAUAACAUAGCGUUUAUGAAAACGCUAUUGAUGACAUAUAAUAGCUCUUCUCUCUUGCUAAUAAUGUACAUAUUUCUUGUAGUGUCUUUUCAAGAAAACAGUUUAGUUUAUUUUAUGUUAUGUUGUUUUUCGUUCAAGUGUAUUCAUGUUAUUUUGAAAGUUCAACUUGUUUAUGUAGAAUACUGUUUCGGUAUAAUGAUGUCGAACUCUCUGCCCUUGGAAUGGAAUAUAUUGUUUAGGAGAAGGAGCUUGCAUGUGGUUGCAAGAGCUUAAGUGCCUAUCGACGGGAGUGCUAAUAGGAACAAUUGUUCAGAUCGAAGUUUUAUGUGUUCUGCUUUUGAUGAGGAGGCCAAAAAGAUAGAGGAGAAGAAAUUGAAGAGAUCGAAGUUUGUCUCUGUCUAUAUGAUGUUAGUCCUAUUUUGUUGAAGACUUAUGAUGUUAGUAUAAGACUUGGUAUGAUGUUAUGUAAGACUUGUUUGGCUAAUUGGUUAAUGUAAUAUUACUUGUUGGUGAUUUAUAAAAUAUAAAAGUUAUAUAUA